GAUGAACGCUGGCGGCGUGCCUAAUACAUGCAAGUCGAGCGAACAGACGAUGAGCUUGCUCCUCUCACGUUAGCCGCGGACGGGUGAGUAACACGUUGAUGACCUACCUAUAAGACUGGGAUAACGUCGGGAAACCGGAGCUAAUACCGUAUAAUAGAUUGAACCGCAUGGUUCAAUAGUGAAAGACGGUUUUGCUCUCUCUUAUAGAUAGGUCCGCGCCGUAUUAGCUAGUUGGUAAGAGAACGGCUUACGAAGGGAACGAAGAGUGGCCGACCGGGGAGGGGGAUCGCCCCCAUUGGACCGGGGAACCGGUCAGGCUUCCUCAGGGAGGAAGAAGAAGGGAACCUCGGGAAAUGGGGGAAAGCUUGACGGAGCAAGCCGGCGUGGGUGAUGAAGGUCUUCGGAUGGUAAGCCCUUGUUAUUGGGGAGGAACAAAUGGGUAAGGGAAAGUGCACGUUGUGACGGUACCUAAUCAGAAAGCCACGGCUAACUACGUG
rnacentral:rRNA from 1 species